AAGACACUAGUAAAACCGAUAUUACACCGCUUUGUCAGGGCGUAUUUGUGGGUUUAACUCCCACGUGUCUUA
rnacentral:tRNA from 1 species